AUGUUAUCACGAAAGGCGGAGGGAUUAGACCCAUUGAAGCCUUAGCAACCCUUUAUCUAUAAAGAAGGUGCUACAUUCUACCUUAUAAACGGAACCUGUUUCGGAUUAAGGAUAGAUAACAA
rfam:Chryseobacterium sp. SCN 40-13 ABS44_C0065, whole genome shotgun sequence.